rnacentral:rRNA from 1 species
AACGCGAAGAACCUUACCUGGGCUUGAUAUCCUAAGAACCUCUUAGAGAUAAGAGGGUGCUAGCUUGCUAGAACUUAGAGACAGGUGCUGCACGGCUGUCGUCAGCUCGUGUCGUGAGAUGUUCGGUUAAGUCCGGCAACGAGCGCAACCCACGUAUUUAGUUGCCAACAGUUUGGCUGAGCACUCUAAAUAUACUGCCUUCGUAAGGAGGAGGAAGGUGUGGACGACGUCAAGUCAUCAUGGCCCUUAUGCCCAGGGCGACACACGUGCUACAAUGGCAUAUACAAUGAGACGCAAUACCGCGAGGUGGAGCAAAUCUAUAAAAUAUGUCCCAGUUCGGAUUGUUCUCUGCAACUCGAGAGCAUGAAGCCGGAAUCGCUAGUAAUCGUAGAUCAGCCAUGCUACGGUGAAUACGUUCCCGGGUCUUGUACACACGC